AGUCUAAAUUAUGGUCUCUAUGAGGGAAAUAAUGCCAUUUUCCAGGCUAGUCAAAAGCUUUCUGAUAAGUAUAUUCUAAUACCAAAUAUAAUUUAUUUUGCUAGUAAUAGAGAAUCCUUGAGGAAAUCAUAUUUGGUGAUGAAAACUUUCUCUCUCAUAGAAAAGAAAUGUAAAAUCUGAUAUUAAAAACUUAAAAACAGCAGAACUUUUGGAAUGACAGAGUAAGGAACUCAGUGGACCCUCUCCCAUCAAACCCAUAUUUAACUGUCUUCCCAUCUCAGGGAAAGCCUGUCCCACUUCCUUGUGGACUGUGCCAGAAGCCUAGCACUUACCAAUAUGGAGCCUGAAGUAAUCUACUCCUGCCUGUCUCCCACCACGCACCUAGACCAAGUCACCUUCAACUCUACCCUGGACUGUACUGCAGCUUCCUGACUAGUCUUGCAACAGCUGUGACAAAGUAAAAGGCGGCCCAGCAGGAGAAGGCCUGCACCAGUACGCAAAUUUUAUCACUGCUAUCACCAAACAGAAUGUAGGAAAGAGAAUACAGAUAGGCAACUUUCCUAAUCUGGGGGACAUAAGUCCAGGGAUGCCUCCCAGUGGAGGAACAAAUGCCAAGUACAUCGGGACAGAGUGUGCCUGCUACUUCUGUCAGUCUGGUCUGCCUUGGGAAGCACCUUAUGCUUUCCUCAAGGUGUCUGGUCAGUGAAAAGCUUAGACAGAAUCAUCACUGACCUCAUGACUAUUGUGAAAAAUAAAAUUAGUGGGUUGUCGGAAAAGUCAUGAUGUAUUUUUUUCUG